AGCCUUUAGCCCAACAAGUAUUAAAGGUCCCGCCUGCCCAGUGAAAUAUUUAAACGGCCGCGGUAUUCUAACCGUGCAAAGGUAGCGUAAUCACUUGUCUUCUAAAUAAAGACUAGUAUGAACGGCUAAAUGAGGACAAACCUGUCUCUUAUAACUAAUCAGUGAAACUGAUCUCCCAGUCCAAAAGCUGGGAUACCUACAUAAGACGAGAAGACCCUGUGGAGCUUUAAACUUAACCACUAACCAACGUAUACGCCCACCGUUAAUAGUGUACAGUUUUAAGUUGGGGCGACUUCGGAACAAAAUUAAACUUCCAAGCACGGGACCACAAAUCCCAACCGAGGCCUACAAGCCAAAGUCUAUAAUAGCCGACCCAGUAAUACUGAGCAACGAACCAAGUUACCCCAGGGAUAACAGCGCCAUCUUCUUCAAGAGUCCAUAUCGACAAGAAGGUUUACGACCUCGAUGUUGGAUCAGGACACCCAAAUGGUGCAGCCGCUAUUAAAGGUUCGUUUGUUCAACGAUUAACAG
rnacentral:rRNA from 1 species